rnacentral:lncRNA from 1 species
AAAGGGCUAAAAAUUGAGUGAACAAUUGUAUUUUUCUACUGUUUUCAAAAGACUUGAGAGCUAAAAAAAUACAAAAACGACGGGAAAGUGAAAAGUUUAUUGUUCCAUCAAAUUGCUCUUCUGUAAUCUUUGGGGUAUUGUUUUCUCAACUCUGAACCCAUUUAUGAUUAUUAGGGGUUAAAGAUGAACUGAAGUUGGUUUUCCUUGAGGUUUUGGGGUGUAUUUCCAUCGUUUGUUAAUGUUCCAUUGUGAUUUUAGAGCUGGCACUGCUGUUGUUACACUGUUGUUGAUAUUUGUGUUGUCCUUUCCUUCUUAAUCUCAAAACGAGUUUCUGAUUCUGCUCUUGUUACCUUCAGGUACACGACUAUGUAACUAUUUCAUUGUGGAGUGCAUUUGAAGAAUGAAAUGAAUUGAAGAAUGAAAUGAAUUGAAGAAUUGAAGCACAUGCACUACUUUAUCUUGUUGAUCUUACAAUGUUAUUCUGAAUUAUCUGCUAAUCUAACGUGAUUACUAUGCCUAAAUCCGCUUCGAAUAAGCGGAGUAUAACUAUUAAUAUAUAGCUAAAAUUCGAUCCCUAUUUAGCUCUGUCAAGUCUUUGUAUGAUAUCUAUUAGUGUAGAGUAAUUGAUCAUGUUCAAAGUUAUAUUGGUUUGAGGUUUAUUGAAGGGUUAUGGUGUUUGAGUGGUGGAUUUUGUUUGGAUUUCAUCAAUUAUGGGCCAUUCAGCGUUAGGACUGUUAGUGAUAUUAGCGAUCGAUCAAGAAGGCAUUGACAUAUUAUUGUUUGUGGUUAACAUCUGCUUGAAAGUGAUGCAAUUAGCCAUGUCAAUAUGAGAUUGAAAUUGUGGAGAUUUUGAAAUCCUGCUGCUCAUUGUUAGUUAUUAAGGCCUUAAUUCUCAUUCAAUUUAUAGUUGGAUGUCAUAUGGUUGGUU